rnacentral:rRNA from 1 species
UGAGGAAUAUUGGUCAAUGGGCGAGAGCCUGAACCAGCCAUCCCGCGUGCAGGAUGACGGCCCUAUGGGUUGUAAACUGCUUUUCUGCGCCAAGAAACCUGUCAACGUGUUGACAGCUGACGGUAGCGCAGGAAUAAGCACCGGCUAACUCCGUGCCAGCAGCCGCGGUAAUACGGAGGGUGCAAGCGUUAUCCGGAUUCAUUGGGUUUAAAGGGUGCGCAGGUUGGGGAGUAAGUCAGUGGUGAAAUAC